CAUAAUUAGAAAAGUAUCACCAUUUUCCUGGGACAAAAAUAUGUAAGUUUAAACAUUUUUAGUGCCAGGUCAGUAGUCACGAUUUACCAACAGCAUUUUUUAUUUUAAAAAUACAGUUAGUGACUACACCAUUGGCUAACAAACUGAGACUUAAAGCAUUCUCUAGAUGCAAAUGCUACAAAUAAAUCAAAUUAUUAGGCAUAUUCACUAAUACUUACAAACUUAACUUCAUAUAUAAAGCAAGGUAGAUCACCAGUGUGGCCAUGCAAACAGGGUUUGAGGACUUCAAUAUUUAAAGCAAGUUAGUCCAACCCACAGCCCAAGGGCCACAUGCAGCCCAGGAUGGCUUUGAAUGAGGCCCAACACAAAUUAGCAAAUUACUAAACUUACUUAAAAUGAUGGGAUUUUAUUUUUUGCCAUUUUUUGGUUUGUGUGUUUGGUUUUUAGCUCAUCAGCUUUGUUAGUGUUAGUGUAUUUUAUGUGUGGCCCAAGACAAUACUUCCAAUGUGGCCCAGGGAAGCCAAAAGAUUGGACACUCCUGAUUUAAAGGGAAAAGGGAGGGCAGAUGAAGAAAGAGGAUAAAAAAAAGAGAGAGAAGGUAGACAAAACAGGAAAGUGGUUAGUCUUUGGAGGCUUUGAUUAGCACUUACUGAAUCUACAUUUUACAUGUGAAAGGAGUGGGUAGCGAAACAGUGAAUUAUGCAUAGUGCUCAGUGCGUCUGCAUUUUUGCAUAAGAUAAAGUAAACAUAGAGGAGGUGCUCAAAUAUGCAUUCCUCUCAGGUGAGCCAAGGGAUGCCCUCUAGGCCUGUCUUUGUCAAGGUACCGGUGAAGAUAAGCUGUUAGUUUACAUUGUCAAGGUGAAAUAGAACAGCGUUCUGUUUUAGGGUAAAGCUCUUGGGGCCCACGAGGAAUUUCCUUGUGAGCAAUUUGUGAAGGAGGCCACCGGGGGAGACAUGUGGCCUUCUGUCUUUGCAGCUAUCUACUUAGGAACAAAAUGGAAGGCAGUUUUUGCAUGAUGCAGUUACUGAGCUUCACUUUUCCCUUUGGCAUAGUGAGUUUGGGGUCCUGAGAUUUUUAUAUUCCUUUCACAGCCUCACUAUACUUGAAUUAAAAUACAAUCUACAUGUUAAAACUGACCACAUCAUUCUUUCCUGUGUGUCUUCAAAGGAUUUAAGGCCCAUCCAGAUAAUCCAAGAUGAUCUCAUUUCAAAGCCUUAAUUAUAUCUUUGAUGACUCUUUUUCCAAAUAAGGUCUCAAUUAGAGGUUCCUGGAAUAAGACACGGACUCAUCUCCCUGGGGGCCACCAUUCAGCCUGAUCCGGAAGGAAGGCCAUGAUUUCAGCUCUCUGGGAUUUGAGACAAAGAGGCCCCUUUUCUUUCAUUUUAUCUUUUCAUGUCUCUUCUUGCCAUGUACCCACAUGAUUGAGUGUGGGCUGAGGGUGAAUCCAAGAAGGGCUUUGUUUUGUGGUCAGUACAGGCUUUGGUCCACAGAGACAACAAUACUUUCAAUACUCUUUUGUUCUGCCCCAGAGGAGCUCAACACAGAAUUGCCUAGAACAAGAAACUGGUGAGAGAAGCUGCAGCCUGUUGAGACUCCACAAGACUGAAGAUAUGAAAAGAGGAAAUAUGCAUGAAUGCCCGCACGGAGAACCACCCCCACCUGCUGCUCCCGCUCUAAUGAUCACGCCCAUUAUCAACUGGGGGAUGGCUCUGUGCCUUGUCCUUGCAUUACAUGGACCAAGAACACUUCACAGGACUCAGAGAGGCAAAAAUAGAUACAAAAGAAGAAGGAAUUACAGAAGAAGUCACAUAACAUUAUUGCCUACAACUGACUGUUUACCUUGAAUACUUGAAGACCAGAAUGAAGAUUCUUGGGGUGAAGAAUUACAGCCUUAGCAUGGAGCAGGCCUCGGUGCAUCGGCUUUCAGCUAGGCAUGCCUGCCAAUGUUCAACGUCCUCCUGGGAUACGGAAGGCACCGUGAUAGACAUCUGGGCAAGUCAACAGGAAGGUGGAUAUCCAAAUCUCUCUCUUCGCAAUGAGUUUCCAGUUAGAUGGAGGAGAGAGUAAUAAAACACAGAGCUGAGAUUCCUGACUUCACAGAUCCCUGAGGAGAUGUUUACUAAAGGGAAUCUUCUGGUCACUGUUACCUUCCUCCGUACUUACCUGCCUCAUGGAUAACACUGAAGAAUGCAGUUUACUUACAUCUUUUUCUGUUUGACAGAAGACAGUUAUUAGAACCCGAAAGGAAGAAGCUAUACGACUGGGGACACAUGUCUUAGAAGCACACUCAUUAGAUAAAGUGUCGCAUACUCUUUGAUAAGAAACUCCAGGCUGUCACCCAUCUGUUCUCUCAUCAAAGUAGUUUUGGGCCAGCAACUAUUUCAGACAUUUCUACAGUUUCAGAUGUCUCACUCUGCCUAUGACUGUAUGUUGUACUUGAGGACUGGACGCACAGGGUAAAGUGCAAAUAGCAAGCAUUCAGGUCCAACUCUCCUCCUUCUGGUUAACAAUAUGAAAGAAAGAGGUAGUAUCGGAAUUAUUUUAGUUCAAUGUAGCCAU
rnacentral:lncRNA from 10 species